rnacentral:tRNA from 1 species
GGGAAUAUAGCUCGAAGGUCGAGCAAAAGACUGUUAAUCUUUAGGUGUGGGUUCGAUUCCCUCUAUUCCCG